AGCAUAUCAAUAAGCGGAGGAAAAGAAACUAACAAGGAUUCCCCUAGUAACUGCGAGUGAAGCGGGAAAAGCUCAAAUUUGAAAUCUGGCGGCUCCGUCGCCCGAGUUGUAUUCUGGAGAAGCGCUUUCCGCGUCGGACCGUGUACAAGUGCCUUGGAACAGGACGUCAUAGAGGGUGAGAAUCCCGUCUUUGACACGGACGCCCGAUGCUCUGUGAUGCGCUCUCGAAGAGUCGAGUUGUUUGGGAAUGCAGCUCAAAACGGGUGGUAAAUUCCAUCUAAAGCUAAAUAUUGGCGAGAGACCGAUAGCGAACAAGUACCGUGAGGGAAAGAUGAAAAGCACUUUGGAAAGAGAGUAAAACAGUACGUGAAAUUGUUGAAAGGGAAACGCUUGAAGUCAGUCGCGUCUGCCGGAACUCAGCCUUGCUUCUGCUUGGUGCACUUUCCGGCUCGACGGGCCAGCAUCGGUUUCGAGCGGCGGACAAUGGCGAGGGGAAGGUGGCAGCUCCGGCUGUGUUAUAGCCCCUCGUCGCAAACGCCGCCCGGGACCGAGGAAUCCGGCGCAGGCCUGGGAUGUNGGCGUAAUGGCUUUAAACGACCCGUCU
rnacentral:rRNA from 1 species